rnacentral:rRNA from 1 species
CCUACGGGGGGCUGCAGUGAGGAAUAUUGGUCAAUGGACGAGAGUCUGAACCAGCCAAGUAGCGUGAAGGAUGACUGCCCUAUGGGUUGUAAACUUCUUUUAUAUGGGAGUAAAAUGUUCCACGUGUGGGAUUUUGUAUGUACCAUAUGAAUAAGGAUCGGCUAACUCCGUGCCAGCAGCCGCGGUAAUACGGAGGAUCCGAGCGUUAUCCGGAUUUAUUGGGGUGAAAGGGAGCGUAGGGGGAUUGUUAAGUCAGUUGUGAAAGUUUGCGGCUCAACCGUAAAAUUGCAGUUGAAACUGGCAGUCUGGAGUACAGGAGAGGUGGGCGGAAUUCGUGGUGUAGCGGUGAAAUGCGUAGAUAUCACGAAGAACUCCGAUUGCGAAGGCAGCUCACUGGACUGCAACUGACACUGAGGCUCGAAAGUGUGGGUAUCAAACAGGAUUAGAUACCCGAGUAGUC